UGUUUCAUUCUCUGAAUGUAAUGGUUGUUUGUGGGCCAUCCCUCCAGAUCCUUUCCCUGAACGCAAAGUUUACUGGAAGUUCCCAUGAUGCAUAUGUCAUUCGACAAUCAGGGAUAUGGCACAGAUUAAGAUCAAGUCAACGAGCAGACAUGUGGUUAUUGGGAGACCGUGGAUAUCCUUGCACCCCCUGGCUCAUGACUCCUUACCGUAAUCCCAGGCCAGGACCACAGACGGCAUUUAACUCCGCGCUUACUGCCACUAGGCAGCUGGUGGAGCGCACAAUUGGGGUCCUUAAAGGGCGGUUUCGUGUGCUCCACCGCACUGGUGGCGACAUCAUGUAUUCGCCGGAGAUGGCAAGUAAACUAGUGGUUCUGUGCGCAAUACUACACAAUAUCGCGGUAAGGAGUAGCGUAGAGCUUCCUCAGACAGAGGAAUUGCCUGAUGAGGAGCCAGGGGUUGUUCGACACUUCGGUGGGGGGAGUGUUACACGGAGGGGGAGCCAAGUCAGGGCAAGCAUUGUUGCUGAAUAUUUCAGCUGAAUGAUCACACAAACUGUGGACGAGAACAACGGCAGACCUCUCAGCCCCCUUCCCCUUCCCAGUCCCCCUCCCCUUCUCACUCCCCCUCCCCUUCUCACUCCCCCUCCCCUUCG